UUUCCGUAGGUGAACCUGCGGAAGGAUCAUUAUCGAAUAAACUUUGGAUGGGUUGCUGCUGGCCCCCUCUAGAGGGGGGGGGGACAUGUGCACGCCUGCCACCAGUUUAUCAACCACCUGUGCACUUUGUGUAGGUUGGAGAAAACAUCCUCGGGAACAAACUCGGAUUUUGAGAACUGCUGUAACUAGGCUGUUCUUGUGUCUCUCCAAUCUAUGUCUUACAAUUAUACCCGUAAUGUAUGCAUCAGAAUGUAUUGUGUAGGCCACUGAUGCCUUUAAAAACAAAUACAACUUUCAACAACGGAUCUCUUGGCUCUC
rnacentral:misc_RNA from 1 species